rnacentral:tRNA from 1 species
GGUUGUAGCUCAGUGGUAGAGUACUUGCCUACUAUGUGUGAGGCCCUGGGUUUAAUUCCUAGUACCA